rnacentral:sRNA from 1 species
GGACAUGAGGGUGAUCUAACUGCAAUACCUGUCACCCAGUUGAUCUCCAAGACUGAUUCACCUGAUCUGACUGGCUAGGCAGAUGUCCACUUCCUUUCUCAUCACGCCAUGUCCAUUUUUCCUGAACAUGUGUUUAGUGAGAGAGAGCAACCAUCACAGAUAGGAAUGUACUAUUCUUUGGUCAUGAGUAUACUGUAGGUCCAGAGUGCCCCAUAUACACAAUUUGGUGUCAGAAGGCCAGCCCAAGGCAUCCUGGGAGAUUCUUUUU